UGCAUUCUAAUUUUAGAUGCACUUUCAUGCGUACAAGCACACUUGUGUACAAAUGCAUGAACGCAGCGUUUCACAUUAGAAGACUAUUUGAGAUAACAGCACUCAUAGGUGUUGUCAGAGAUUCCCUUUCAAGCUCUGCCCACUUCCACGGGCAGGUUUAACGAAAUAAUGAUAGAUGUAAUUUCAAAGUAAGAGCGAAUGCAUUAUUGUCUUAAACUCAGUAUCCUGGCAUUGGCCCUGGAAUUAUAAGAGCAAUGUCUUCUAAUGGAGAAUUUAUUCUGUAGCAGUAAGAGCCACAUGAACCAGCUGUGCUUUUGUGAAAACGAUGUGAGCGUGGAGGCAUGCAGCUAUGCUAACGCGAUCUUCUUCACCCCCUGUUCAUCAUUACCCGGCAUGCCUUCACACAAAACAGAACACUUCUCCCCAGGUCAGCCCCGACAGUGUUUACAUAACAGCUGCGGAUGAACAAGCGCGGAUAAAAUGGCUCGAUGCGAUGGUCCUUUACGGGAUUUAACAGCUGCAGCGGAACAGAGGGCAGUUUUCAGAAUGUGGCGUUUGCCAUAUGUGGUUUGUUGGUGGACCAGUUGAGAAAUGGCGUGGAAAAUGGCGAUGGACAGACACCUCGUUGUUGAAUCAAGACAGUGUUCUGCGGAGCUCCUGAAGGAAGACAGCGGAUGGAGAAUCUGGCUGUGAUUGGCCAGCUCACCGACGAGUUCCUAUGGGGCGGCUCAAAUUCAAAACAAAUGGUUUCUACAAGGACUGAGGAAAGGCAACACUGACCAGAACACACCAUACUGCCAGCGUUUCUGUAAAAAUAUAAUUUUUACAAUAAUUUCACUUUCAUCUGAAUAAUUGUCAUACAAAGUGACAUUCAAACAAUAAUUUAAAGCCUGUUUAGUACAUUCAACCCUGAUUUUCUUUUUUAAAUGCUUUUUUUCUCUGCAGUUUAAAAUUCUGGUAUUAUAAUGUUUGUUCACCUGUAAUAAUGAAGGAAUGUAUGAUUUGCACAUGAAAACGUACAUAUUAAUCAUUCAUAUUUCGUGUGUAUAUUUAAAGCGGAGAAUGUACAGGGUCAUUUCUUUCAUCUCUGGGUAAAAUGUUUGGGAAUGCCCAAGUGGAACAUAUUUAUAUCACAACAAAAGCCUUGUCUUAUGCAUGCCAGGAGAUUAUAGCAUUAUAGCAUUUCUUUGAUCUUGUUUAUCUGUGGUGAACAUUUUUAGCUAUUUACAAAGAAACAAACAAGCACGCAACAAAGAUUAAAAAAAGAAUUCCAAGAUACCAGUGGUGAAUGUUUUUUUAAUUUUUAUUAGUGAUUUAUAAUUAUUAUGGUCAUUCAUGGAGCUAAGAGUGCAAGGUACCUGCUUAUAUUGAUGUCAGAUUUUAUUUAACUGUAAUGUGCUCUGUCCUUUAGUUAUUUUAGCAUUGCCAAUCAACCCAACUAGAAUAUAAGAUAAAAAUACAUAAUUAGGUAAACAGACCAUCUAGAAAAUAAGAACAUAAUGAUUACAGAAUGAGGAGAGCAU